GGCAGUAGUUUAUUAGUGUCAUGGCCAUGCCUCAGCCUCACAGGUAAUCUGCCUUAUUGAAAUCACCUGUGUGGCUGCCUUUAUAGCAGGAGCUGCCCUGCUGAGCUGUGCCAGAAGAUCUCCUGCCUUCAUGGGACUCCAGCCUGCCAAAGCUGCUGUCUUCUGCGCCCUGUUUUGCCUUCAUGAACUUUGUCAGGACAGACUUGGAUUUAUUUCCUGGAUCUGGUGCUGUUGCCCUGUGGUCUCUCUCUCUCUCUCCCCUCCUCCCUUCCUGGUUGCCCUCAAGCACACAAGUGGAAUUCUGUGCUUCACCUUCUCCACAACAGAUGUGCCUGACCCCUUCCCCCUCCCGGUGGACCUAGGAGCCCUGGCCUACUGCACUUCUUUAUUGAAUAAAAGAAUAUUUGCCAGUUC